GGUAUUGUAGCUCAAUUGGCAGAGCACUUGGUUGAAGCCCAGGGUUGUAGAGGUUCGAUUCCUCUCGAUACCACCA
rnacentral:tRNA from 1 species